GUAAAGAGACCUACUGCGAAGCAGGUUUUUACUAUACUAGAUUUGCCUCACGCUCGCACCGACCAAAAUUUGAGCGUAGGGCUUUUU
rnacentral:ncRNA from 1 species